CCCGCGCCCGGCGCCAGCACCGAUACGGUGCGCCAGGCGGCCGGCCAGAGGCUCGACGAGCGCUACGCGGCCGCUGUGCCUUCCCGUAGUUCUUGCCUCCCGGGGGCGCGGCGCGGACCUGUCGCAGCCGAAGAGCUGUCGUUUCAUCGCCAGGGUUCAGAUGAAUUGAUCCAGUCCUCAGCGGACGGGGCACAUCUCAGUUCCCGAAAUGCUGCGUGUCUCCGGCUGGAACAAUACUAGUUUUUCUCAGCGAGGCUGCAAUUAACAUCUUGUUUGUUCUGGCUAGAUACAGGCUUUGUCAGGACCGCGGUGCGGCGACCGAGAUUGCGUUCCAACCCUACUAAAACUGAUGACAAGAACUAAAGUUGUGAGUACCAGCAUAUCUGUUGACCUUAAUCAACACCAGAGAUUAAGGACUUCAGGACUAUGGUGAAUAAAAGUCAUGAGAGUGGACAUCCUUGUCCUGUUCCUGAUCUUAGAGGGAAAGCUCUCAGUUUUUUCUCAUUGAGUAUGAUGUUAUCUGUGGGUUUUUCAU